CAACAAGUUCAUGGAAGAAAGUCCCCCAAGAUGUUAAGGACCUUAUCAAGAAGCGUUGUUUGGAUGAUUUCGAAUUAAAUUUUGGUCGGAGAGAGGAGCGUAAAACUGUGGAAGAGCUUAUGACUAAUGCAUUCUGCAAGUAUAAGGCGAGAUGUCAUGAGCAUUAUAAUAAGUUUGAGAAUAGUGAAGAAGCACGCCAACAUCCUUUUCAAGAUGUGCAACCUUCUGAUUGGGAAAAACUUUGUGACAUGUUUGAGGAUCCAUCAUAUAAGGAGCGAAGUUCUAUA